rnacentral:rRNA from 1 species
GGUCAUAUCAUGUUGAAACACUGUUUCACAUAUGAUCACUGAAGUUAAGCAACAUCAAGCAUGGUCAGUACCUAGAUGGGUGACCACUUGGGAAUAGCAGGUGCUGUAAG